rnacentral:misc_RNA from 1 species
GAUGAAGAACGUAGCGAAAUGCGAUAAGUAAUGUGAAUUGCAGAAUUCAGUGAAUCAUCGAAUCUUUGAACGCACAUUGCGCCCGCCAGUAUUCUGGCGGGCAUGCCUGUUCGAGCGUCAUUACAACCCUCAGGCCCCCGGGCCUGGCGUUGGGGAUCGGCGGAAGCCCCCUGCGGGCACAACGCCGUCCCCCAAAUACAGUGCGGUCCCGCCGCAGCUUCCAUUGCGUAGUAGCUAACACCUCGCAACUGGAGAGCGGCGCGGCCACGCCGUAAAACACCCAACUUCUGAAUGUUGACCUCGAAUCAGGUAGGAAUACCCGCUGAACUUAAGCAUAUCAAUAAGCGGAGGA